GGAGGAGGGGGCGGGGCUGGGUUUCACGGUUACAUGACGAGGUCUUACAUUUUGAUGGCUUUUAGUCUGAAUGGGAAUUCUGUCAAAGAAAUGCAGGGUGGGAAUAUUUUGUGCACGGAUUUGUGGGAAGGUUGUACUUUUAAUGUUUUGCUUUUUUCCAGUUUCUGGAUGUAUGUAGGACAGACUUGGAGUGGGCGGGGCUGGGAGGGAUGCGGGUGGGUUUAGUUUUUAAUUGAGUCUGGGGGAAACUGUGAGUAUCCUGAUCUGUUGCUGUCGGGUUCCGGCGGUGCUAUGAACUGUGCCACUCAAACACGUAACCGCGGCCUUUCACUGUUGCCACCAUCCAAAAUGCAACUACAAACAUUGCGAACAUUUCACAGUGAAGAACCGUCUGCGUGUGCAUGCGGAGUGACGUAUUCUCUUCUGCUACCUUGUCAUUUUUUAUUGUUUAAGUUAUGGAAGUAUUAUUGAUUUUUUUUUUUUUAAUGAUCGAUAACUGUUGUCUUCCUCUCUCUGCUGUAGACUGCUGUCACUCUGUCCCUAGUUUGUGCUUUCCACAUCCUUUUGUCUGCGUCCCACUCCUUCCCUCCUAGUGAGGACAGCGUCCUGGUCCGGACUCGGGUGACAGCAUGGCAUCUAACACAGGGAGAACAAGCUGACCACUAAGAGCCCCGCACGGCGCCUGUAGCAAACCGGAGUGCUCGUAUCGUGUUCACGGUAACGAUACCGAUGACGAUCACUUGAACGUAAAUUCUCACGACUGACAUCUUCAUACCUCAUAUCACUGACGACCCCAGACGCAGGGAGUCAGGGCGGAGCUUGCCGCCUACGUAGCGGGGGCCGUGGGGCUCUCUACUCUGGUUAUACCCCCCUCUGUUCUUAUCGGUUAUGGUUUUUUGUUGAUGUCCGUGCCCAGAUCCCAGUGUUUCUGUUCUGUGGGGUUUACCUGCUCAGUGUGCAGGGCCUGGGGAGAACGCCGAGUCAGGUCCGUCAGUGCUGAAAACGCCGAGUCAGGUCUGUCAGCGGUUCUAACACUGAGUCAGGUCCGUCAGCGGUUCCAGCGGUUCUAACACUGAGUCAGGUCCGUCAGCGGUUCAGACCGGACACCAGGGUGUUGUCCGUCUCUCAGCUCUGCUGUUCCCAGCACGUGUCGCUGACGUGCGUCCCUGGUGAGUCCAGACUUUUACACAGAACUGCUUCCACUGUCCAGAGUGGCAUCUCAUUUGGGCCAGUAAACACACACACGGGUCACCCCCCCCCCCCCCCCCCCUAAUUUCUGCAGUAUGACGUUGCUUUAAUUCGAUAUGAUCCACUUUUAUUGUUUACAAACACCCUAGAACACUAAGAUAUCUGCAUUGUUUUUCCAUUUUCCCCUCAUUUUUUGGUCAAUACACCAAGUUUUUAAAUCAAGUUCACUCUCUUUUCCACCCGUUUUAUUUGAUCCAGAUUCAUGUGAUCUGAUCCACAGGGCUGUAACCUGUCCAUUUGAGUUCAUUAUUGAUUAGGAAAGUAAAUAAUAAUAAUAAUAAUAAAAACGUUAUCAAUGCUUGUGUUGUUUAUCUUAAUUCAUUCUUCAUUUUAUUUUGUUCUAUUAAAAGAUUUAGCUCAUCUGUUUAGCAAACAGUACUCUGGAAGUAAGCCUUGCUCAGAAACUAUUACUUCUGUUCAUUUCCACGUAACGUGUGUAAGGUGAUUGCUGUUGUUUUGUUGUGUUAACAAAGACUAAGGAAUGAGAGAUCCUUGUGUUGUGUGUCCAUGCGGUACUUCCUGUAAUUUCUCCAGUGGUCUUUGACAAAGAAAUAGUGUUGAAUCAAAAGGCAAUUCUGUCUGUGUCAGUCAACAAAUGUAUUUUAUGUUUUAGGUUUGAUGUUUUUGUUUUAAAAAAAAUAUUUUUAACACUAUCAGUGCUUAUCAAAUUGUAUUCACUUGACCUGUUUUUGAGGUCAUGUGAUUUUUAUUGCGUAAUGUGAGGUACUAGUGCCUCUAAAUCUUUAAAAUCUAGUCAGAUGGCUUAGUGAUAAAUGUC